GCUGGACAUGGUGGCGCAUGCCUGUAAUCCCAGUGACUUGGGAGGCUGAGGCUCUCAGCAACUUAGCGAGACCCCUUU
rnacentral:sRNA from 1 species